GAUGGGCAUGCGUUGUAUUAGCUAGUUGGUGAGGUAACGGCUCACCAAGGCAACGAUACAUAGGGGGACUGAGAGGUUAACCCCCCACAUUGGUACUGAGACACGGACCAAACUCCUACGGGAGGCAGCAGUGAGGAAUAUUGGUCAAUGGACGCAAGUCUGAACCAGCCAUGCCGCGUGCAGGAAGACGGCUCUAUGAGUUGUAAACUGCUUUUGUACUAGGGUAAACGCUUCUACGUGUAGGAGCCUGAAAGUAUAGUACGAAUAAGGAUCGGCUAACUCCGUGCCAGCAGCCGCGGUAAUACGGAGGAUCCAAGCGUUAUCCGGAUUUAUUGGGUUUAAAGGGUGCGUAGGCGGUUUGAUAAGUUAGAGGUGAAAUACCGGGGCUCAACUCCGGAACUGCCUCUAAUACUGUUGAACUAGAGAGUAGUUGCGGUAGGCGGAAUGUAUGGUGUAGCGGUGAAAUGCUUAGAGAUCAUACAGAACACCGAUUGCGAAGGCAGCUUACCAAACUAUAUCUGACGUUGAGGCACGAAAGCGUGGGGAGCAAACAGGAUUAGAUACCCUGGUAGUCCACGCAGUAAACGAUGAUAACUCGUUGUCGGCGAUACACAGUCGGUGACUA
rnacentral:rRNA from 1 species